AGAGUUUGAUCCUGGCUCAGAACGAACGCUGGCGGCGUGGAUAAGACAUGCAAGUCGAACGAGAGAAUUGCUAGCUUGCUAAUAAUUCUCUAGUGGCGCACGGGUGAGUAACACGUGAGUAACCUGCCCCCGAGAGCGGGAUAGCCCUGGGAAACUGGGAUUAAUACCGCAUAGUAUCGAAAGAUUAAAGCAGCAAUGCGCUUGGGGAUGGGCUCGCGGCCUAUUAGUUAGUUGGUGAGGUAACGGCUCACCAAGGCGAUGACGGGUAGCCGG
rnacentral:rRNA from 1 species